GUGGGGAAUUUUGGACAAUGGGGGCAACCCUGAUCCAGCCAUGCCGCGUGCGGGAAGAAGGCCUUCGGGUUGUAAACCGCUUUUGUCAGGGAAGAAAUCCUUUGGGUUAAUACCUCGGAGGGAUGACGGUACCUGAAGAAUAAGCACCGGCUAACUACGUGCCAGCAGCCGCGGUAAUACGUAGGGUGCGAGCGUUAAUCGGAAUUACUGGGCGUAAAGCGUGCGCAGGCGGUUUUGUAAGAUCGAUGUGAAAUCCCCGGGCUCAACCUGGGAGCUGCAUUGGUGACUGCAAGGCUGGAGUGCGGCAGAGGGGGAUGGAAUUCCGCGUGUAGCAGUGAAAUGCGUAGAUAUGCGGAGGAACACCGAUGGCGAAGGCAAUCCCCUGGGCCUGCACUGACGCUCAUGCACGAAAGCGUGGGGAGCAAACAGGAUUAGAAACCCGAGUAGUCC
rnacentral:rRNA from 1 species